AUUGAACGCUGGCGGCAUGCCUUACACAUGCAAGUCGAACGGCAGCACGGGAGCAAUCCUGGUGGCGAGUGGCGAACGGGUGAGUAAUACAUCGGGAACGUGCCCAGUAGUGGGGGAUAGCCGGCGAAAGCCGGAUUAAUACCGCAUACGACCUACGGAUGAAAGGCGGGGGAUCGCAAGACCUCGCGCUAUUGGAGCGGCCGAUGGCAGAUUAGCUAGNGGGUGGGGUAAAGGCCUACCAAGGCGACGAUCUGUAGCUGGUCUGAGAGGACGACCAGCCACACUGGGAC
rnacentral:rRNA from 1 species